rnacentral:lncRNA from 1 species
UUGAGACAGCCUCAACUGGGAAAGUAAGUUUUCUCCACAAUGGCGACAAUGAACAAAGGGAGUUGGCUGUCUACAUGGUUUUUAACACCUGAAGUUUAUCAGUUUAAACUGAGACAGCCAAUACUAAUUAUGUAAUUUGCAGAAGUUAGAUGUUGAUAAAAACAUGUUCAGUGUUCAAUCUAACCAAAAGAUGCCUAGCAUACGCAGCUCUAAUGUUAGUUAGUUGUCAUCUUCCACUUGAAGCCCACGAAAACAACUUCAUCAGUUUUAUCUGCCACACCAAGCCCAUAGAUGCAUCCAUAUGGAUCAGUUUUAUCUAUCAAAUUUUUAGCUCAAACCAAAAUUUGUUUACUAACGAAACAUCAAAUUUUUUUCAUACAUGUCACACUAUUAUACUGUAUCAAAAAGGAUUAAGAAGACAAUAAUAAUUAACAAACAAACCCGUUCACUCCUAAAUCCCACCAUUGAUUGUGAAGAAUGACAUCCCAUGAAUAUGUAUACAAAAUUUCAAUGCUAUCAGCAUCUAUUUAUAUUGACAAACAAUCUUAAUAAAAAUGUUGUUACAGAACAAUAUUUUCUGUUUCUGCAGAUACAUAUGAUUAUGGACCAGCUUUGAAGCUGAUAUAUGAAUUUUUUAUAACUUAUACUUAUAAUUUGGUUGAUCCAAUGGACUCCCUGCAAUGGGAUCUUUCCAUGUGUGAUUUUAACGUGAUCCAGUUUCUUUAUGUGGCUGGAAACCACCUUAAAUGUAGCUUAUACACACACAUAAUUUAAAAGAUAAAACUGCAGAUUUCUGAAUCAGUGAAACAUAAAAAUUUCCAUCAAGUUUCGAAUAAAUUUAUGGAUAGAUUUACAUUUGAUUUGAACACAGUGUCUUUCUAUGGAUUCUUUGCAGCUUGAUCUUUCCAAUAUUAUCCGAGAUCUUGAUACUCCUGGUUUGUUCAAAAAUCGCUUUCUAAAACUCGUCCUUAACCAGCUUUUUCUCUCUGACCCAUCUAGCCAUUGCUUUGGUCUAUUGUUUGUUAUUUGAGAUUGUUACUGGAAGAUAUAUGUGCUACUAAUAUCGUUUAAUUUAUGUUCUUUGUAAUAUUAUUAUUUCAGCAAAUUCAGUCAGCGGUUUGAGUUUGUAUAAAAAGAUAACCAAGUGAAGAUUCGUUUGCUAUAAAAAGAUACUGGAAACAUUGAAAGUAAAAAAAAAGAGAUAAUAAGAAAAGAAAUUCCGAAAUUGAAAACGAAUACGUAAACGGAUCUAUAAAUUGCGACGGGUGCUAUGGUGGGGUUAUCAUCCUCAAGAACAUUUCCAUUUGCUUGUAGUUAAAACAUUCAGUGCACCUGUC